rnacentral:lncRNA from 1 species
UUUGUGUCUGUGCAUGUGUGUAAUGAUAUGAAAAAGGAGAUUUUAACUUAUCCUCUGCAGAAGGUAUUUGUUCAUCUUCAUCAGAGUCAUAUCCAAUUCCUCUUUUUUUAUUGUGAGUAACACCAUAAAUCAUAGAAGCCAUUUUGCUUCUUUCUAGCCCAUUUUUCAGAAUUUUCUGAAACACCUUUUCAUAUUUGUAUAUGAUGGUGUCAGAAGUUGGUGGGACUUUG